GCUGGAGGAUUUCAGAGAGGGAGGAGGCUUGUUAGGGAAAGGAUUAACAGCGAGUACAUGGAUGGUCAUAUUUCAGUACAAACACCUGUAAAUCAGCCUAAGCCUAUACAGAAACUAAGAUUUCAGCAAGUGAUAUACUGAGAGGAGAACAGGAAUCAAAUCUUGUAAAAGGAUGUUCUUGUAAAUACUUGUCCUGUGUCUUCACUGGGUUGAGAGAAGACAGAUGACAGAAGAUUUGGGACAGUAGCCUGUGGUGCUCCUAGAGAUAGAUCCAACUGCCUGUAGCCAGUAUGAUAGAGUGACGAUGCAGAAGAAGUCUUACCUGCUGCACUGGCAGAAUUUCAGGAUGAUGAACCCCUCCUUUCUCCAGACCUGUGCAGGAAUCUGCCACUGUUACAUAAAGCUGUGACCCACGUGUGCGUCAGUCCCACCAGGCUCACAAGUAAAUGAGGAAGAUCUCAAGAAGCUCUGAGAUGAUGUCUGAAAGGAUUUCCUUCCCUCCCGCCCAGAGGGUUGAACCUUGCAGAAAGGUCACUUAAUUGUGCUGCUUGGAGAUCUCAUACUGGGCCCAGCGCUCCCUGUACCCUGCAGAACACCAAUGACUGGGGCAGCAGUAACAUCAUCCCAGUGGCUUUGUGCUGUCUGCAUCACCCCUGUGCUGUCUGUGUCAGGGGUGUGUUUUCAAAAGACAGAAAGAAAGCAUUUUAGAGGAGGUAUUCCUGCGUGGGAUUAAUGGGAUUGAUGCAUCUGGAUUAAUGCAGCUUUUCCUGAAAGAAAUGCUCUCUUUUUUGUCCACCCCUUCCCCUCUGAGGUUUACUUACUUGCAGCUGCUGACUCUUUGCCUGGCUGUUGUAUUACCUGUGCUAAGGAGAACUGUAAAAAGCUCAAGCAUUUAUUGAUUCAGUAGUGGGAUCUAUUCAACAGUGAUAAAAUGCUGCUGCUUCUUCAGUUAUGGAAUACCUGUCGCAGUUUUUUUUCUUCUUACCCUCAGAUUCCCUUGAAGACUUUUUGAAUUAUUUCCUCUGCUUUAUAGAGCUGUAACAAAGGACGGGUGCCUGGAUCACUCCACCAGCUUCACCUGAGUAAAAGGGGCCACAGAGAGGUUGAAAGGGCGCCUGUCAGCAGGCUGCUAAUUGUAUGUGUCCGUCAGCAGGCUGUCCUUAUACCGAAGAAUGUUAUCUUGAGAUGAAUCCAUAGGCAGCACAGAAGGGUCUUGUUGAGAGAGGCAGACUGGGGAGCUAUAGAGUGCUGCUACUUAUCAGGACGGUGUCUUCUCAGCAGGUGCAAGAGUGAAAGAAGAGCACCAGCUAUGUGAGAACUGCUUUGCCUUGCAGUGAUCGUGUUAAAAGGGAGUACACUUUGCUUUCCUUUGUCGUAAGGGACCACUUGCACUGCAUUUUGAACUCAUCUGCAACCUUUCUGGAAAGGUGCAGUAACAUGUUAGCAUUCUGUGGUGCUUGUGUGCAGUGAGUGAAUGCUGCUUUUCCUGCUUGUUUUGUCUCAUGCAUGUUAUGCUGUGACAUUUCAAACGCGCUGUUUGUAAAGAAAUGCAAUGCUGUUGUUUAGAAGCU
rnacentral:lncRNA from 7 species